rnacentral:rRNA from 1 species
UGAACGCUGGCGGCGUGCCUAAUACAUGCACGUCGAGCGAACAGACGAGGAGCUUGCUCCUCUGACGUUAGCGGCGGACGGGUGAGUAACACGUGGAUAACCUACCUAUAAGACUGGGAUAACUUCGGGAAACCGGAGCUAAUACCGGAUAAUAUAUUGAACCGCAUGGUUCAAUAGUGAAAGACGGUUUUGCUGUCACUUAUAGAUGGAUCCGCGCCGCAUUAGCUAGUUGGUAAGGUAGCGGCUUACCAAGGCGACGAUGCGUAGCCGACCUGAGAGGGUGAUCGGCCACACUGGAACUGAGACACGGUCCAGACUCCUACGGGAGGCAGCAGUAGGGAAUCUUCCGCAAUGGGCGAAAGCCUGACGGAGCAACGCCGCGUGAGUGAUGAAGGUCUUCGGAUCGUAAAACUCUGUUAUUAGGGAAGAACAAAUGUGUAAGUAACUAUGCACGUCUUGACGGUACCUAAUCAGAAAGCCACGGCUAACUACGUG